UUCCUUGUUUUUUUAUUAUUCGUUUUUCUCCCUCUUUGUUUUAUUUAUUUUAGUUUAUUGGAAUAAAAAAACAAAGG
rnacentral:ribozyme from 1 species